rnacentral:sRNA from 1 species
AUCGCAAUAUGAUAGUUCGUUAUAUAUUUUCGCGCAAAUCACCGGUGUCGCGCGGUGCAAAAUUAUCGUUCCGGUGGAAGCCCCGGCGCGGUCCAUCAUUGCGGAAGUUACGGUCGCGUUCGCGAGAUAUUUGUGUACUCUGAGAAUAUAAUUUAACACAAAUUCAAAUUUCUAUAUUCAGGAUUAAAUGGCUACGAAUUAAUAAACUACAAAAUUUAUUGCCAUAGGCCACCCAUCUAUAAAAAAAUCAGCUGAUGACAGCUGAUAUUGGCAAAACACAAAAUGUUUUCUCUGAAUUGUGAAAUUGGUAACAUAUAUGGAUUAGCAAUCGUUUUAGCUGAUGUUCAAAAAUAUAAAAUGUUGUUAAAAACCUGGAAGAAAGAAAAACAACACAAACGAAUUCGACGAGAAAGAGUUUGUUGCAGUGUGAAAUUUGGUGUUAAAAUGGUACGAAACAAUACAAAAAGAAGAGAGCAGAAGCUAGUGGUGCAUCAUUAAUCCGUACUUCAGGUGGAGCGUCAAAAUAGUAGUUUGGCGCAUUGCUUUUGUCUUAUAUCGAUAUGGUGAAUGCACGAAAAUCAGUUUAAGCUGCAAUAUCAUGCAUCACAGUAGACAUUAGGAGGACACAGGAGGAGUACCACAAGUCCAGCGUGAGAUACAGCAAGUUUUAAGGCUUUGCUGUUUGGUCACUGACAAAUCAAAAAAACACCAAGCAGACGCGCUCUCUUACUGAGCACUGUAAACUGUUUCUCGAUCCAACACACGAUUUAAAGAGAAAAGAGAUUUUAAAGAGAAGGUCUUUGGUCAAGCGCUCAUAGAAAAAGUGUCUGUAGAUGAGCGGUAGCAAAAAAGUGUCUGCGUUAAGUGUUUUUAGUUUUCUGCUUAUUUUAGGUUAUAUGAAUUGUGAUAUAUUUUUAUAGAAUUGGACAAAUUUUGCAAACUGAAGAUAAUAAUGAAGAUUAUACCCGUUAGAAAUUUAACUGCAUUUUGACCUAAUAAUAUCUGAAAAAUCGGUUACAAACAUAAAGCAUGCACAUUAUUGUGUAAAUUUAUUAUAUGCAAACUUUGUAAUUAUCUUUUGAUGUAUGGUUUUCAAUAAUUAAUAAAUUAAUAUGUAUCAAAUAA